rnacentral:rRNA from 1 species
UAGGGAAUAUUGGACAAUGGGCGCAAGCCUGAUCCAGCCAUCCCGCGUGAAGGAUUAAGGUCCUAUGGAUUGUAAACUUCUUUUCUCUGGGAAUAAAAACCGGUAUUUAUACUGGCUUGAAGGUACCAGAGGAAUAAGCACCGGCUAACUCCGUGCCAGCAGCCGCGGUAAUACGGAGGGUGCAAGCGUUAUCCGGAUUCACUGGGUUUAAAGGGUGCGUAGGUGGCUUUGUAAGUCAGUGGUGAAAGCCCGGAGCUUAACUCCGGAACUGCCAUUGAUACUGCUUAGGUUGAAUCAACUUGAGGUGGAUGGAAUAUUACAUUUAGCGGUGAAAUGCUUAGAUAUGUAAUAGCACACCGAUUGCGAAGGCAGUUCACUAAGGUUGUAUUGACACUGAGGCACGAAAGCGUGGGGAUCAAACA